rnacentral:rRNA from 1 species
AGUAGGAGGGCGUGGCGGUUUUGUUGAGAAGGAUGAGACGCAAGUCUAUCUGAAACGGCCGCUAGUGCAGAUCUUGGUGGUAGUAGCAAAUAUUCAAGCGAGAUCCUUGAAGGGCGAAGCGGGGAAGGGUUCCACGCGAACAUUGAUUGGGCGUGGGUGAGUCGUGCCUAAGCCGGGUGGUAAUCGUUCUUACGAUCGGCGAAAGGGAAGCGGGUUAAAAUUCUCGCACACGGAUGUGGAGGCGGUGACGCAAAUUGAGGUGGAGACGUUAGCGAUGGCACUGGGCAGAGUUGUCUUUUCUGUUUAACCUGUGGCGGCACUCUGUGGAAUCCGAUUAUCGGGAGAAACAGGUGCUUAUGGGAAGAGCGUCGGGGCGUCCCCGGCGUCCAGUACGCCAUCGAUAGCCCUUGAAAAUCCAUCUGCAAUGAAAUUUCACGCCGUGGCGUACCGAUAACCGCAUCAGGUCCCCAAGGUGAACAGCCUCUGCUCAAUAUGAACAAU